UCCUGGGUGGUGCAACGGUUAACACGUUUGGUUGCUAACCAAAAGGUUGGAGGUUUGAGUCUACCCAGAGGUG
rnacentral:tRNA from 1 species